GGGCCGAAGCGGGGUCUACUGUGGGGAAGGCGGUAACUCUGGUUUAUCCUGACGCGGCCCAGCGCCCCUUCUUUAUCCCUGUUAAAUAUGGAGAAAUGGCCUCCGGGAGGGAAGAAGCGAAGGGAAAGCUCUUGCUCUGUACAUCUUCACUCAAAAGCAGCAGCGGGAGCUGUUGCGAUCUCGCUCUGGUGCAAACUUUCCCCCUCUCCUCCCUCACUUCCCCACAUGUCCCGAGGCGAAGUGUCUGACUGACUCCUGAGGAUGGAAAUAAUAUACCUUACAAAUCACCACCUGGUGCCUGUCAUCUCACCUUCCUCACAGCUCAUCUUCCCCCUCACACUCUCCAUGCCAGCUUCUCUAAUGGAAGUAUGGAGAUAGAGAAUGAAGAACUUCCUUUGGGAGAGCACAAGAAGGCAGAGCAGCAGGCAGAGGGAGAAGCCGGCUCUCCACUGAGC